UGAGAAACACUGCCCUACAGUCAUAAGCAAAGUCCUAGCCUCCUUGAGUGCAGUUGACGCUUAUCUAACUUUAAUCAGGUGGUAACCAUUAGGUAAGAAGAUUUUUAUGCAUAAGCUUUUAGCAAUAAAUCAGCUUAACUGAACCUUCACAUGUGGACCUGGUGUUUUGCACCAAUUAAUAUCUAAAGAAGGCCAAGAUUUGUUUUCAACAAGAAACUAUUGGCCAAAAUUAUUCUGGAAUAGUGAUUAUAAGUGGCUUACAAUGGUUUUGGCUGAGAGGUUGAAAAUAAUUUUGCAAGAAUGUAUUUAUGAAGAUCAAUGUGGGGUUUUAUCUAAAAGACAGUUAAGGAUAAUAUUACAAAUGUUGUGGGAAAUUUUGGAAUAUUUAGAACAACAUAAUGAAAAAACAAGCUACAUUAAUUUUCUUAGAUGCAGAGAAUGCCUUUGACAAUUUGAAUUGGUUUUCCUGUUUAAAGUUUUGAAACAUGAAAUUUGAAAAGAAUUUUAUUAAAUAGGUAAGACUUAGAUGUGAAAGAGAGCACAAAUAAUUAUUACUGAAGAACUAACAAAACACUGAGAUACAAAAAAGUGACAGGACAAGGAUCCUCAUUUAGUUCUUGAAAUAUUGAACAGAGAUAUAAGACAAGGUGAGAGAAUUGCAGGAAUCAGGAUUAAAAGAGAAACUUAAGGGUAGUCCUCAAUUUAUGAACAUUAGCUCAGAACACUGGCAAUUACAAUGACACUAAACACAGGGACUUACAACUGUCCUCCAGGUUAUGGCUGUUGCAGCGCUCCUGCAGUCACACUGUCAAAAUUAGGGUAUUUGGCAGCCUGCCUGCACUUCCAACUGCAGGGUUUCUUCAGUUCUGCCUACCCACCUAUCUCCCUCCAUCUAUGACCUUUUGGACUCCUGCCACCCAGUGCUCUAUCACCCCAGUUGACAUUUGUCCUCUUGUUGUUCCUGCUGUUGACAAGGCGUGCUCAGCCUGGUGACUGGGCCAGGCUGAAGCAGCUCUUUGGCUAUUAAAAAGAAAAAAGAAAAGUCAGAGCAGUCCCAGAGCUGCAGCUGAUUUCAUUUUGCAAAACUAUUUUUAGUAAAUAUUAAGGUUCUGGUAGGUACCAUAUUGCCAAUCCCUAUAAACUUUAACCAUUAGAAAUACAGACAAAGCUCUAGUUUAAUGUGGACAAUAAUCUACAUAAUUCCUAUAAUAAUAGUUAAUGUAAUCAUAACAUAUUUUUUCUUGAUGACAUUGGUUUGCAAGAGCUUUGGUUUCAGGCAAUAACUAUAUACUUUGCCCAAGAUCAAAGUAGAUACUAUAUAAAAAGCGUAUUAAGAAACCAGAUGCCCCCUUUGCUGCUUGAAAAGCUGUUUCGUAGGAUAUUAGCCUCUCUUGCUGCUGUGCUCCUGGUAUUUCUCCAAAUGAAGCUCUAUGAUAAAGUGGGAUUGUUAUUGAGAUAAGAAACUAAAAAAUGGAAUCUACACGAAUGGAACCAGGCAAGGCUCCUUUUCUGUUAAUUUUUCUAGUUUUCAGAAUUCUUGGCAAAUCACAUUUGAAUUUCUUUUGGUGAUUGUUCUGAACUUCAUUGCUGGAAAUGGCAGUGAGUGUUAUCAUUGCUGUUGUUUUCUCUUGUUCCUUUUUCCAUAAUGCUGAAACCUCCAUGGUGUUGAUGCCACAAAAUUUGAAAAAUGGUAUUGUGAGGUAGUCCCUCAUAAUGACUUCCCCAGCAUUUAACUAAAGUGUGGGAAGGUAGGGAUACUGUAGACUGCUAGAAAGAUGGAUGUACAAUGGAAGAUUAGACACUUAUAAGCAUCUGUUGAACAUCUUAUUAAUACAAUUGUGCAAGAACAGCACAUUCUUCCACUGAGAAUGUAACUGAAUGUUUCUUCUGCUUUAAAAUAAAUGUUGCAGUUAGUUCUCUUUCACCAGGAUGAAUGAGAGCCAAUAAGAAAAAAUGCAGGGAAAUGGUUCUGCCUGGCAUUGCUUAUCAGGUAAGAAUGCAGUGGGUUUCACCCAGAGGACCAAUGACUCUUAGGAGUAAUGCAAGUUUAGACUAUCUUCAGUUAACCACAAGAAGAACAGAUGAGCAGAAAGAUGCAAAAUAAUUCAAAGAAAUCUGCAAACAGGUCUUCAUAGUUUCUGUAUUAAGCGCUAACCUGCGGCCUAUUUCCCGACUACUUCUUCCUUUAGUAUUGAUGAUGGCAGAAGCUACCUGUGUCUUUCAUGUCUUCAUUGUCAGUUCUAAGCUACCCAGAGGAACAGUUGCAAGAAAUAGUGCAGACUUCUUUGAAGAUUUACCACGGUACACUCAAUAACGGGUAAGUGCAAUUACAGUACAAGUGCAGAUCUCACAUAACCCAUUGAGAUCACAACUGAAUGCACAUUUCAGUAAGUUAAUAUUUUGAAUUAAGUCACCCCCACUGAAGCAAAGAAAGAUUUUGUUCUUGAAAUUUUGAAUGAGAGGGGUGGAUUGCUUAGUUGUGUUUGUAUUCGCUCCAGUGACAAGAAUUGCA